UGGUUGGUGACCUAACCAUGGAGUGGGCCUGCCUGUUGAGCCAUUCUGCUGUGAAGAGAUGGGGGUAUUCUGUCAAAACGUGGCUAGGAAGAUAGGCUGCAUGUGCAAGCGUGGGAACCACCCCCUUAAAUGGAAUGCGAUGUUGCUCAGCAAGGAAGAACUCCCGAGACAUCCUUCCACCGUCGUGCCAAUGGAGGGCACGGCGCCGGCUUCCUUCCUGAGUCACUCACUGUUUACGGGCAGCCGCUGGCUUCCAGGCCGCGUCCCCUCCAGUAAAAAGGGGGCGUGCUUGGUAGAGAUCCUUGAGACCUUUGAUGGCAGGAUAUGAAACAAGGCCAGGCCCCGAAACAAGGCCAGGCCCCAUUAUAGGGCAAUUACCCUUCAGGCUGAUUGGUGCAGAGACGCUGUAAACGCACCUUUGCGGAACACAGACGACACAGGAAAGGCGUUUGGCAGUAAUACUACGACACCGAGGGGCCCGGGAAGCCCGCGGAAACGCAGGAGGCGGGCAGGAGAGGCAGGGCUACGCACAUCCCACCCUCGGAGCCCUGUCCUAGCUUAGGCUGAGACAACUGGGAGGGGCUGGCUUUUUUGUUCCCCUCUUUCCCCGCAACCUGCCAGAGGGAACUGGAGAGAGGGGUCCUUCUAGCUUUAGGCACACUUAAAGCAGCCUGCCAGGAAGGAAAUGCGGGGGCUCCACCUUAGAGGCGGUCGAGGCCAGCGUGAAAGCACAGGGUGGCGACCACUUCCCCCACCGCCCACCCCGGUUCUCAUCCCCGGGCUACCCUCCUGCCUCCUGCCUCCUGCCCAGAGCCCAGACUACAUGCAACGCCGUGCGCUAGAUCCUGGAGAUGCCACGAUGAAGGUGGGAGGUGACAUUUUAAAAUAUCCCUCAAUUCCAGCACUUUGAGCGGCCGAGGGGGGCGGAUCACUUGAGGUUAGGAGUUCGAGACCAGCCUGGCCAACAUGGUAAAACCCUGUCUCUACUAAAAAUAAAAGAAUUCGCCGGGCAUAGUGAUGCACGCCUGUAAUCCCAGCUACUCCGGAGGCUGAGGCAGGAGAAUCACUUGAACCCAGGAGAGGUUGCAGUGAGCCGAGAUCGUGCCACUGCACUCCAGCCUGGGUGAAAAAGCCAGACCUUGUCUCAAAACAGCAGCAGCAGCAGCAGCAGCAGCAGCAGCAGCAACAACAAAGCCACAACAAUACUGAUGGAGGUUUUCUCCCCAGCUUCCUGCCUCUAGUCUGCACUGCCCAAUAGGAAGCCACUAGCCACAUGUGGCCAUUGAGCUCUUGAAAUGUGGCUGGCGCUGUCAGUGUAAAAUAUGCACCAAGAUCAGAAGGCUUGGUAUAAAGAAAAAACAAAUUAUCUCAUUAAUAACCUUUUUAUAUUGAUUACAUGUUGAAAUAAUAACAUUUUGGAUAUAUGGGUCAAAUAAACUAUAUUAAAAUUAA